ensembl:lncRNA
CAAAAGGUGAUACACGCUGUAGAGUCAUCAUCUCUGGAGGUGCUCAAGAACUGUGGAGAUGUGGUACUGAGGGACAUGGAUGAAGAAGCUGGAAAGCAAAGAGCUCAUCCUUGUCUGAAUUUUCUUUUGGAGAAGCAGAAGUGGAGGGAGUCCCAAGGGAUGAGGACUCCCCACAUCCUGUGAUGGCUACCAUGAAUCUGGGGUCAGUUUCAUAAAACCUACAUGUUGCCAAAGGAGUAAUCCAUCCCAGGGUCAUGGUAGGAAUUGCUUGAGGAGGUACAAAGGCAGAAAGAUGGGAAUACUUUGGGUAUGAUCCCCAGCAGAGGACCUGAAGGGAUGCCCUGACCAUGGGGCAGCAAAAUGGGGCUGUGUUGGUGAGCUGUGAGGCCAGACGUCAGAGCGUGAGCACCUCAGAAUGAACUGUCAUCCUCCAGCCAGCUCUAUUUUAGCUUCAAGGCAAUUUACCCUCAAGAUGCCCAGCCGCAUCCAGCAGACGUUAUUGGCUCCCUGGUCUCCUGCAUUCACAGCAUCAUCCUUCCUGACCUUUCCCGCUCUCUUCCAACGGUUCAUCUUUGUGAUUAAGUGCUGAUCUAGCUCCCAGUUGCUGAAGACAGAAACCCUGAAGACAAAAAGCUGUUAAUGAAGAAAUUAGCUCUACAAUUGAUCCUAGAGCCAUGCUUAAGUGCGCACGAUAGCUCUGCCUAUUGAACUGCCACAGUUGCUGAGUAAUUAAUAACAUCUUUGUAUCACAGGCUAUAAA